UGUAGUCUGGUCUCAUUGUCGUCAC
rnacentral:piRNA from 1 species